GGGAAAGCUCUUAGGCAACCUCAUAGUCUGCCCAUCAGAGGUGAAAAAGGCUCCAGUUAAAUGGGAAGAGUAUUCAUUUUAAGCACUCUACAAUGUUAAGAUUUUAAAAAUACAGUGCUUAACAUUCUGUAGAGCUACAACAACAAAUGCACUCACCUUAGUAUUUAUAUGCCAAGCUCUGCCAAACUGUUUCAUAAAGUACCUUGGGAAAUGUUUCAUGCUUUCUCACAAAAAGAUACCUUCUCCUUCCCCUGCUGAUGGCCUGGAUGUUCCAAGGAGUGUGAGCUGAGAGUUCCUGAAAUUCCAGCGAGACUGGUAACUUGAAGCCUUCACUCUUCAGGCAGGAAAUGCCAGUUUCUGUCUUCAUUCUCUGCACGUUCUUCGCACCGUUUCACAGUCCUUGGAGCAUGCUGCUGUUGUGUCCAUUCCCGAUGGAGAAAUAAAUGAAGGUGAGAUGGGGAAGGUCUCUGCCUUCUGUUCGAAUUCCAUGUGGACGUGACAGAAUAACUCAGUACUCUACGGACUGGCAAGGCAGGUAUAGACAAAGAGAGCUUUUUCUGUGUCUUCUUCCCGAGGAUGAAAUAAUAAGGAUUGUGAUUUGGGAGAAAAUGAGGAGAUUUGAAAGGGAUAUUUUGACAGGAUACUAGAGAGGAAAAGAAACCACAUGAAUUAUGUAGUUAACUUGUCAAAUAAGCUAGACAUAGCUAAACUAUGAUUAUUUUAUACUAAGAAAUUUGUGCCCUGUAAACAUGUCUAUUGUCAUCCUUCCCUCUUCCCCACAUUGGAGAUUUAAUUUCUAAUAUCACAACUUCAUGGCACAUUUACAGGCUAUUUUGCUUAGAGAGGCGCUUCCAGUAGUCAUCUUUAUUUUUCACAAACUCUUUAAUAUCAGUCUCUGAUAGGCCUCUCCUAAAAAGAUGAGCUCUUUACAAACAGGUGUCAGCCAGCCUACCUGAAUACAGAGGAAGAAAUCCUGUCCGGGACAAUCAAAGGAAAUUUCAUGGAGAAAGGAGCAUCUGGGUUGGGCUCCAACUGAGUGCUUAUAAAUUGACUGUUGAAUAAUUGAGAAGAUGGUGAUUUGCAUAAGCAGCUCAAUUAUAUUCUCCCUGCUGGCAGUGGCCAGCUAAUAACCAGUUUCUUGUUCAAGUCCUCCCAGUUAUGGACGACUCCAGAGUCGGUGGGUGAAAAGUCUCAACUCUAUCUUUCCACUUGAUUAAACUGUCAACUUCUGUUAUUUUUCAAAUAUAGCUUUUAGAAAAUCUCAUUUUGUCAAUAUGAAGAGACAUUUUUUAAGCACGGACACACAAUUCAUCAUUGCAUUGGCUUAUCUGAUAAAAUACUAUUUUUCUCCUAUAUCCUUUUCACAAAAUCAGAUUUGCUGACUGCGCACAAAUGAAAGGCCCACAAAACACCUUUUAGUCCUAAUAAAUGAGCAAACUAAGAUGGUAUGGAGAAGCAUAUGCCCCAGAGAAAAGUAAUGAAACCAGGGAACAAACACAGCUGAAGUUGCCAUAUGUCAGGAAACAACCGUGUGACACACCAUGUGGUGAUGAGAAUAAGCACUGACUGCCAAUUUUUAUAAAGAAAAGCAUGAAAUUGAUUUCAGAACUAGAUUGAUGCAUGAGUUUGGAAGGGGUAAAAAAAAGACAGGCUUCACGCAGAGCACAAAAUGGUCUGGAUUACAAAUACCACCUGACAGAAUUAUUUGGUAACUAAAUUUGGAGAUUAGCAUUUCUUGUUUCCAACAAGAAUUCUUGCAGAAAGACCUCUUGGAAUUUUUCUAUUAAUUCUAGGAUGAAUUUGUCAGAAGGGUUCACAAACUGAGAUGCACCCCCACUGAUGUGUUUUCUGAAAUUCAUGAACCUUAAGUUAUCUGCUCUGUGGUUUCUGUUUUUCAUUGCAAGGCAUCAUUAGUCUUUUGGCCAACACUGGUGAUUUUCAGUGACAGCUGAAAAUAUAACUGCAAAAAGUAAACAGGAAAAGUACUUAAUGUUUGUGGUCAAUCAAUCAAUCAAUGAAAUCACCACAAUUUCAUGUUUUUUGAAGGAACAAACACAAGGCACUCUAAAUUCAGACAAAUGAGUUUAAGGAAAAUGGCAAGCAAACAGCUAAAGUCUGAUAUUAUUUAUUUCUUGUCGACUGAGCAAACUGUUCUCUAGAAACAAGCCAAACUUGACCUUAAUAAGAACUUAGGGAACCUGAGCUUUGAGGUUAACAUUAGAUGAUACUCUACACCCUCUUGAUGCCACUGUCAGAGUCAGAAUUGAGGGACAGGUAAACUAUUUUCUAAGAAAAAAAGUUUUCAUGAAUUCUUUUUUUCUUUUUCUUUUUUGAAUGAAUGAGAGAAUUCCAGCAGAGUACAGUCAAAGUUGGAAAUAACAGACGUAAUUCCAUAUCCCCAUGGUGGGCCUGCGUCUUCAUUCCCACCUCAGGGUGCCAUCAGCAGAAUUCCACCACAGCUUCUGAAGCUGCAGGUUUAAAAUCAGAUCAAAGGCUACAGCUGGGGUUAUGUAUGCACUGCGACUCCUCUGCGGUCUCGGAGUUCACUAGAGGGAAGGAGAAGGUCUUUUGCAUUGCGGUUUCCUCACGCGGAGAAAGCUGCAAGCAGUGUUGGAGGAUGAAUUUGUUUUAUAACGAGGACUGGGGAGAUUUGAGUGACAAGGUCUGGCACCUCGACAGCUGGGCUGUGUAAUCUGUUCAUGUCAGUGUGGUUUGCUGGGAAGGUGACUGGAUGGAGAACCAGGAGACGUGGCAACCUUCAGAAGUUCUUCUAAGCAUUGUCAGCUAGGUUGCUUCAUGACUUUAUCUGAACUAAAUGAUGUUCUUCUAUUCUCUUCCAGCUUUAAAACCUAUGUUUUAAAAUUAACGACACUGUAUCUACUAUUUAUUUUAAAAUAAUUUCAAACUCACUGAGGAAUUUCAAAAAUAAAACAAAAUUAAUCCUGUUUACCUUUCACCCAAAUUUAUCAAUGAUAACUCUUUACCUCAUUUCCUUUUCAUCCCCCCACUCUCUUCUUGAAGCAUUUUUUCUGAAAUAUUUGAAAGUUAGUAGUAGACAUCAUAUCUUUUAUCACCAUAUGUUUUAGAAUUUGUUUCCUAAGGGUAAAGAUGCUUCUUACAUAACCAUGUUUAUUAAAUUCAAGAACAUUCACACCAAUUUGAUAGCAUUAUCUAAUAAAAAUGUAUAUUUUUCUAGUUGUCCCAGCAAUAGUUUUUUAAAUUUCAGUUUUCCCCUUGCUUCAGAACUUAAUUCAGGAUCCACAUGGCAUUGAGUUGUCAUAUCUCUUUAGUCUUCUUGAAUUUGAAACAGUCCUCGGUUCUUUGUUUUGCUUAACUUUGACACUGGAGUAUUUCAGGCAAAUUUGUUACAGAAAGUCUCUUAAUUUGAGUUUGUCUAAUCGUUCUGUAUGAAUAGAUUGAUAUUUUCCAUUUUUGACAGAAAUAUUACCUUAAAUGAUACUGUGUUCUCAGUAUGCUACACUAGGAGGUACAUAAUUUCUGUUCAAAAUUUUUUAGAGCAAAGCUGAGUGUGGUGCAUAUGCCUGUAGCCCCAGGUACAUGGGAGGCUGAGGUAGGAGGGUCAGUUUCACCCAGGAGUUGUACGAACUGUGGGCAAUAUAGGGAGAUGUCAUCUAAAAAAGUUAACACGCCAAUGUUAUGCGGCAUAUUUUUUCCAUUCUUGUUGGAAUUGAACUCUAUGUCCACGGUUAUAAAGAAGUGGAAAUAUUUACUAAUUGGCAUUUUACAGACUAAACUGCCUGUAUGUCUUAGAUACCAAGGCGCUUAUUUUAUUUGCAUGUUAGGUACCCUAAAAAUAACUUAACUGUUCACAACUACAGUUUGAGACAUAACUGGAAAGCAUGGAGAAGAGGAUGGAAACUCCUUCAUUCUGGAGCCCACAGAACAAUGUGAUAGAUUUUUCCCCUAAAAUAAAGAAGUCCAAAUGAUCGUCUUGCUAGCAUUAUGCCAAGAAGGAUGGUGAAGCCUAACCAGAAUACAAGGUCAAACAACCGCAAAACAGGAGCAAGAAUAAGCGCACGCACACAGUUCUCCUGACUCUAAUCUAUUUCAUUAUAUGGUUGCUCCCACUAAUUACUGUUUGGAAGCACACCUACCCCUUUUUGAAAUAAAGAGACAUUCAUGAUUCUAUAUGUUUAACGCAUUUCAUAUGCCCUCAGAAUAGCAUGAUGGACCAAUUGUAGUGAUGACACCCCCAACAAAAAUAGAAAUACCCACCUUAAAUUCAUUGGGCCAUUUUGGGGCACUGUAGUGUUACUGCCAAGCAGUAGAUGGCACUGUUAAUAUACAUUGAUUUUAUUAUGAAAUCUGGAAAA